rnacentral:rRNA from 1 species
GAUGAACGCUGGCGGCGUGCCUAAUACAUGCAAGUCGAGCGAACGGACGAGAAGCUUGCUUCUCUGAUGUUAGCGGCGGACGGGUGAGUAACACGUGGAUAACCUACCUAUAAGACUGGGAUAACUUCGGGAAACCGGAGCUAAUACCGGAUAAUAUUUUGAACCGCAUGGUUCAAAAGUGAAAGACGGUCUUGCUGUCACUUAUAGAUGGAUCCGCGCUGCAUUAGCUAGUUGGUAAGGUAACGGCUUACCAAGGCAACGAUGCAUAGCCGACCUGAGAGGGUGGUCGGCCACACUGGAACUGAGACACGGUCCAGACUCCUACGGGAGGCCGCAGUAGGGAAUCUUCCGCAAUGGGCGAAAGCCUGACGGAGCCACGCCGCGUGAGUGAUGAAGGUCUUCGGAUCGUAAAACCCUGUUGUUAGGGAAGAACGUAUGUGUAAAUAACUGUGCACAUCUUGACGGUACCUAAUCAGAAAGCCACGGCUAACUACGUG